rnacentral:rRNA from 1 species
GACGAACGCUGGCGGCGUGCCUAAUACAUGCAAGUUGAGCGAUGAAGAUUGGUGCUUGCACCAAUUUGAAGAGCAGCGAACGGGUGAGUAACGCGUGGGGAAUCUGCCUUUGAGCGGGGGACAACAUUUGGAAACGAAUGCUAAUACCGCAUAACAACUUUAAACAUAAGUUUUAAGUUUGAAAGAUGCAAUUGCAUCACUCAAAGAUGAUCCCGCGUUGUAUUAGCUAGUUGGUGAGGUAAAGGCUCACCAAGGCGAUGAUACAUAGCCGACCUGAGAGGGUGAUCGGCCACAUUGGGACUGAGACACGGCCCAAACUCCUACGGGAGGCAGCAGUAGGGAAUCUUUGGCAAUGGACGAAAGUCUGACCGAGCAACGCCGCGUGAGUGAAGAAGGGUUUCGGAUCGUAAAACUCUGUUGGUAGAGAAGAACGUUGGUGAGAGUGGAAAGCUCAUCAAGUGACGGUAACUACCCAGAAAGGGACGGCUAACUACGUG